UUACACGCUUAUAAUUCUUUAUAUUUAAUUUUCUAUUAGUUUAGUAUAAUAUAAAAGAAGUUGGUGGUUGUUAUUGAAAGGUAAAAGUGUGUUGUGGAUAGGUUUGUGUCCGUACUGUGCAGAGCAGGCCAAGGGAGGACAACACAGCACCAGACGUGACACAGAAAGGCACUGUGUUCAAAGGGUGCCAUAAACUGUGGCUUUAUUUAAUGUAUUUUGCCAGAACAAGACAGUGACAGGGCCGUGGGUGCCUGCGUGUGCUGGUGCAAGCUUGGUGCCUUCCGGGAGGUGCCUACAGGGAGGUGCCUACAGGGCCACCAAGGCUAAUAUUGAUACAAAUGUAGAGGGACGAAAUAGGGAAGCAGGAAGACCACCACCACCACCACCAUCACCACCAGCAGUGUGGAAGAAAGUUUAGGCAAGCGAAGAAAGUUGGAAAAUUAAUAAUUAAACGGUUGCUGUCUUUUAUUAUCUUGAGUAUAAAAUGGUUAUAUGACAAUCUCUCUCUCUCUCUCUCUCUCUCUCUCUCUCUCUCUCUCUCUCUCUCUCUCUCUCUCUCUCUCUCUCUCUCUCUCUCUCUCUCUCUCUCUCUCUCUCUCUCUCAGCUUUGUAUUAGUUACCCGUUGACAGAAGUGACAGCCGCGUUUUCUCUUGUCAGAUGUAAACAAAGCGGUAGUUUCCUUCCAGCUGGUGAUAAAACUCUUUUGUCGCUCUUCCUCACUCUCCCACGUCACGGAAGCAGUAGCAACGGCAACCCUCCGAUCCGGCAAGCAAGUUGGCGGCAGCGAUGGCGGUGGCGGCGGCAGUGGUGGUGAGGUGGACGGCAGGGACAGAGGGGCAGUACAGGCUGCGGACAUCAAGGAGAAGAGGAACGCACGGACAAGCAAGGUGUUAUUCGGCAGUCUGAUCCUGGACCUGCUCGGCUUGAAGGUGGUGCUGCCCGUGUCUCCUGCUCUCCUCGACUGUUACUCCAAGCACAACACCAGCGGCUUGUAUUCCUCUCAGCUCUCCUGUGUGACUUAUUACCAGCAUAUCAUCGGUUUCGCUGCGAGGUUCCAUUCUGUCUUGUUUGGCACUGAUUGGCGUGACAUUCAGCAUAGGCUUCACCGUCGGGCACACUGUGGGGGCUGCGUUCUCCCGCUGGGGAAGUACUGGGUGGUUCGCGGCCUCGGCUAUCUACGCACGCACUCUCACUGUGGCUAACAUAAUAUUCUUUGCUGUCUUCUUCCAGGAAUCGCUGCCUGAGGGCAGAAGGAGGAGGGACAUCGGUGCCAGUUUGACCGAGGCUUGGGAGGUGAUCAAUCCUAGGGCUCUGUUCUCCGUCAGCUGUGUCAAGGGCCUGGGCAGAGAAGCCUGGAGUUAACGCUGAUCUUCGCGACCCACCACAAGCAUAGUUACGACUCGUUGGCGCAGGACCGCAAGUUUUCCUUCCUGGGCCUGGUCAUGGCAAUUACACAGAGAGGGUUUAUGCGAAGUGUUAAGACUGGAACUGAAAAAGCAACUGCCAAUUAGGCACACACCUACAUUGUGAUGCAGCUCCUUGGAGGUGGAGAGCUGGCUGCCUCAGAGGAUCAGGAAACAUGAGAGGUUCACAGAGGCUCGCCUCGGGCUUCGGUCGUCGUGAGGAACCUGGUGUCAGCAGUUCACUACGUGCACAGGAAAAGCAUCAGUGUUCACGGAGACCUAAAGCCAGACAGGGGUGAAAAGGGUUGGUGUUGAGGAUAGACAGAAAAGAAAAGAAAAGAAAGGAAAGGUAAAAAAAGGAAGUUUUUUUGCAUUGAUUUUCCAUCUGCUUAUUUUAAAGAAUUUAUUGCAUGGAAUAUUAUUGAUCUCCAUCAUUUGUAUGGCCUUUAUAAUAAAAAGUAUGAAUUUA